ACGCUCGACACCUACGGGAGACAGCAGUGGGGAAUAUUGCACAAUGGGGGAAACCCUGAUGCAGCGACGCCGCGUGAGCGAAGAAGUAUUUCGGUAUGUAAAGCUCUAAUCAGCAGGGAAGAUAAUGACGGUACCUGACUAAGAAGCUCCGGCUAAAUACGUGCCAGCAGCCGCGGUAAUCUGAGGCGGGCUGGCAAGGC
rnacentral:rRNA from 1 species